rnacentral:rRNA from 1 species
UGGGGAAUCUUGCGCAAUGGGCGAAAGCCUGACGCAGCGACGCCGCGUGUGCGAUGAAGGUCUUCGGAUCGUAAAGCACUGUCGCCCGGGAAAAAAGUCCAGCAAUGGAAUUGAUGGUACCGGGAGAGGAAGCACCGGCUAACUCUGUGCCAGCAGCCGCGGUAAUACAGAGGGUGCGAGCGUUGUUCGGAAUUAUUGGGCGUAAAGCGCAUGUAGGCGGCGUAUUAAGUCGCGUGUGAAAGCCCCAGGCUCAACCUGGGAAGUGCGCGCGAAACUGGCGUGCUUGAGUGCUGGAGAGGGUGGCGGAAUUCCCGGUGUAGAGGUGAAAUUCGUAGAUAUCGGGAGGAACACCAGAGGCGAAGGCGGCCACCUGGACAGACACUGACGCUGAGACGCGAAAGCGUGGGGAGCAAACAGGAUUAGAUACCCCCGUAGUCC